CAAAGUGUAGCUUAAAUCAAAGCAUCUGGCUUACACCUAGAAAAUUUCAAACCAUACUGAACACUUUGA
rnacentral:tRNA from 1 species